AGUGAACGCUGGCGGUAGGCCUAACACAUGCAAGUCGAACGGCAGCACAGUAAGAGCUUGCUCUUACGGGUGGCGAGUGGCGGACGGGUGAGGAAUACAUCGGAAUCUACUUUUUCGUGGGGGAUAACGUAGGGAAACUUACGCUAAUACCGCAUACGACCUACGGGUGAAAGCAGGGGAUCUUCGGACCUUGCGCGAUUGAAUGAGCCGAUGUCGGAUUAGCUAGUUGGCGGGGUAAAGGCCCACCAAGGCGACGAUCCGUAGCUGGUCUGAGAGGAUGAUCAGCCACACUGGAACUGAGACACGGUCCAGACUCCUACGGGAGGCAGCAGUGGGGAAUAUUGGACAAUGGGCGCAAGCCUGAUCCAGCCAUACCGCGUGGGUGAAGAAGGCCUUCGGGUUGUAAAGCCCUUUUGUUGGGAAAGAAGAGCAGCAGGUUAAUACCCCGCUGUUCUGACGGUACCCAAAGGAUAAGCACCGGCUAACUUCGUG
rnacentral:rRNA from 1 species